UGCCUCUCUCUUUCAUUAUCACUUUGCUUCCAGAGGAUCCUAUUCUUCCUCUUCUGGAAGGAUUAGUGUGUCUGGUGAAGUUGGAAAGCCACGGUACCCAUGUUGAAAUGUGAGGAAGCAGCUAAAAUUCGCAACCAUUUGAGAUUUCAAAGUCUUGGGUGAUGGUUUAUGUGUGGGAGAGAGAACCACAUUCCCACAUGUAGGACUAGGAGGCGUCUGCUGUGAUGAACCACAUGUUCAGUCUGUGUUUCACCUGAUCUGCCCUGAUUACACACAUGCUCUGAGCAGACUAAAGAAAAAAAAACUCUGUAACUGAAGUCUGGUUUCGGAGGAAACUGAUGUUCUAAUGAUCUCCAGUGCAACCAUAUGUAAAGUCCCCACACAGUGAAGGGAAUAAGUAGCCAAUCCAAGGGACCUCUUCAGGAUCAUGGAUCUGAUUUCUGUGCAAAUGAAAGAGAGACAUUAAUGCAAGGAAGGGCAGGAAUUCAGAAGACAGGAUUGGCUGGUUUUGCUUCUCCUUCCUCAUCCUGGAUCUCUUAUAGGAAUCACAAAUGGGUGAUUUGAGAAAGGAAAAUAUAACUUUCUCUCCACAAGAAUCAUCUGUAAGAGAGAAUUUGGGGCCUGAAGAUUAAACAAUUUCCCCUGUCUCCAUUCUGCAUUACAUCAACUGUUUGAAGAUAUGUCCAGGAAAGGCUGUACAAAAGCAAGAUUAAAUAAUAGAACUAGAUUGAAUGGAAGUGUAAAAGUUAGAAGGUAGAAAAGAACAAUGGUAGAACUGUGGGGGAAAUGGAUUCCCCCCCCCUGCAACUUUAAUUCAUUGGGCUGAAUUCAGCCCAUGUCAGUAGUGGCUGUGGUUGGGAUUUUCUCAGGAGAUUUAAGGGAGUUAGAUGGCAUGUUGUUUAAGCUCCUUUGAAAAUCUCAUCCUUAAUCAUUGGUAUCUGAAGGCUUUUACACCCUAACUCAGGGAUCAGCAAUCUGAAAGAUAAGAAAAUCAUUUUUUAAAAUUCCUUCAGUAACCCAAGUAUUUUGAGAGCUGCAGUGGGUGUAGCCUCCCGGUUAAGAAACUGCAUAACAGAACAGAGACGCAUAUUGACUUUUAGCAACAAAAAACAGUAU
rnacentral:lncRNA from 1 species